rnacentral:rRNA from 1 species
UACAGAGGUCCCGAGCGUUGUUCGGAAUUACUGGGCGUAAAGAGCUCGUAGGUGGUUUGUCGCGUUGUUCGUGAAAACUCACAGCUCAACUGUGGGCGUGCGGGCGAUACGGGCAGACUGGAGUACUGCAGGGGAGACUGGAAUUCCUGGUGUAGCGGGUGGAAUGCGCAGAUAUCAGGAGGAACACCGGUGGCGAAGGCGGGUCUCUGGGCAGUAACUGACGCUGGAGGAGCGAAAAGCGUCGGGGAGCAAACAGG